rnacentral:rRNA from 1 species
GAUGAACGCUGACAGCAUGCUUAACACAUCAGCAAUUGAUUGGUGGCUGACGGGUGAGUAACGCGUACAGAACUUGCCUCCCAGCUAGGGACAACAUUUGGAAACGAAUUCUAAUACCUACUCCUUUUCGAGAGCUUUGCUUCCCAUUAGCUAGUUGGAGAGGUAACGGCUCACCAAGGCGAUGAUGGGUAGCCGGCCUGAGAGGGUGAUCGGCCACAAGGGGACUGAGACACGGCCCUUACGCCUACGGGAGGCAGCAGGGGGGAAUAUUGGACAAUGGACCAAAGUCUGAUCCAGCAAUUCUGUGUGCAAGAUGAAGUUGUCGGAAUGUAAAGUGCUUUCAGUUGGGAAGCGGUACCAACAGAAGAAGUGACGGCUAAAUACGUGCCAGCAGCCGCGGUAAUAC